rnacentral:sRNA from 1 species
AUAUCUCUCCGUACGGGAAGGAUGAGAAGCUUCGACUAAGGUUCGAUUCGAGCGCAGCGAGAAAGCGUUGCCGCAGGCAACGACCCGAAGGGUGAAGCGCGCAGCGCUGAGUCAUCCUUCCCCCACC